rnacentral:rRNA from 1 species
UUGAACGCUGGCGGCAGGCCUAACACAUGCAAGUCGAACGGUAACAGGAAGAAGCUUGCUUCUUUGCUGACGAGUGGCGGACGGGUGAGUAAUGUCUGGGAAACUGCCUGAUGGAGGGGGAUAACUACUGGAAACGGUAGCUAAUACCGCAUAACGUCGCAAGACCAAAGAGGGGGACCUUCGGGCCUCUUGCCAUCGGAUGUGCCCAGAUGGGAUUAGCUAGUAGGUGGGGUAACGGCUCACCUAGGCGACGAUCCCUAGCUGGUCUGAGAGGAUGACCAGCCACACUGGAACUGAGACACGGUCCAGACUCCUACGGGAGGCAGCAGUGGGGAAUAUUGCACAAUGGGCGCAAGCCUGAUGCAGCCAUGCCGCGUGUAUGAAGAAGGCCUUCGGGUUGUAAAGUACUUUCAGCGGGGAGGAAGGGAGUAAAGUUAAUACCUUUGCUCAUUGACGUUACCCGCAGAAGAAGCACCGGCUAACUCCGUGCCAGCAGCCGCGGUAAUACGGAGGGUGCAAGCGUUAAUCGGAAUUACUGGGCGUAAAGCGCACGCAGGCGGUUUGUUAAGUCAGAUGUGAAAUCCCCGGGCUCAACCUGGGAACUGCAUCUGAUACUGGCAAGCUUGAGUCUCGUAGAGGGGGGUAGAAUUCCAGGUGUAGCGGUGAAAUGCGUAGAGAUCUGGAGGAAUACCGGUGGCGAAGGCGGCCCCCUGGACGAAGACUGACGCUCAGGUGCGAAAGCGUGGGGAGCAAACAGGAUUAGAUACCCUGGUAGUCCACGCCGUAAACGAUGUCGACUUGGAGGUUGUGCCCUUGAGGCGUGGCUUCCGGAGCUAACGCGUUAAGUCGACCGCCUGGGGAGUACGGCCGCAAGGUUAAAACUCAAAUGAAUUGACGGGGGCCCGCACAAGCGGUGGAGCAUGUGGUUUAAUUCGAUGCAACGCGAAGAACCUUACCUGGUCUUGACAUCCACGGAAGUUUUCAGAGAUGAGAAUGUGCCUUCGGGAACCGUGAGACAGGUGCUGCAUGGCUGUCGUCAGCUCGUGUUGUGAAAUGUUGGGUUAAGUCCCGCAACGAGCGCAACCCUUAUCCUUUGUUGCCAGCGGUCCGGCCGGGAACUCAAAGGAGACUGCCAGUGAUAAACUGGAGGAAGGUGGGGAUGACGUCAAAUCAUCAUGCCCCUUAUGACCAGGGCUACACACGUGCUACAAUGGCGCAUACAAAGAGAAGCGACCUCGCGAGAGCAAGCGGACCUCAUAAAGUGCGUCGUAGUCCGGAUUGGAGUCUGCAACUCGACUCCAUGAAGUCGGAAUCGCUAGUAAUCGUGGAUCAGAAUGCCACGGUGAAUACGUUCCCGGGCCUUGUACACACCGCCCGUCACACCAUGGGAGUGGGUUGCAAAAGAAGUAGGUAGCUUAACCUUCGGGAGGGCGCUUACCACUUUGUGAUUCAUGACUGGGGUG